rnacentral:rRNA from 1 species
GACGAACGCUGGCGGCGUGCCUAACACAUGCAAGUCGAGCGAAGUUAUUCCUCCGGGGAUAACUUAGCGGCGGACGGGUGAGUAACACGUGGGUAACCUGCCUUAUAGAGGGGGAUAGCCUUCCGAAAGGAAGAUUAAUACCGCAUAACAUCAGACUUUCGCAUGGGAGUUUGAUCAAAGGAGCAAUCCGCUAUAAGAUGGACCCGCGGCGCAUUAGCUAGUUGGGGAGGUAACGGCUCACCAAGGCGACGAUGCGUAGCCGACCUGAGAGGGGGAUCGGCCACAUUGGGACUGAGACACGGCCCAGACUACUACGGGAGGCAGCAGUGGGGAAUAUUGCACAAUGGGGGAAACCCUGAUGCAGCAACGCCGCGUGAGUGAUGAAGGCCUUCGGGUUGUAAAGCUCUGUCUUUGGGGACGAUAAUGACGGUACCCAAGGAGGAAGCCACGGCUAACUACGUGCCAGCCGCCGCCGUAACAC